AGUGAACGCUGGCGGUAGGCCUAACACAUGCAAGUCGAACGGCAGCACAGUAAGAGCUUGCUCUUACGGGUGGCGAGUGGCGGACGGGUGAGGAAUACAUCGGAAUCUACUUUUUCGUGGGGGAUAACGUAGGGAAACUUACGCUAAUACCGCAUACGACCUACGGGUGAAAGCAGGGGAUCUUCGGACCUUGCGCGGAUGAAUGAGCCGAUGUCGGAUUAGUUAGUUGGCGGGGUAAAGGCCCACCAAGGCGACGAUCCGUAGCUGGUCUGAGAGGCGGAUCGGCCACAUUGGAGCUUGAACGGCGUCCCGGCGCCUACGAGAGGGAGCAGUGGGAUAUAGUAGACAAUGGGCGGAAGUCUGAUCCAGCGAUACCGCGUCGGUGAAGAACGCCUUCGGGUUGUAAUGACCUUCUGUUGGGAAAGAACCGCCUCCGGUUUAUACCCCGCGGUUCUGACGGUACUCGAUGAAUAAGCACCGGCUAACUUCGUG
rnacentral:rRNA from 1 species